rnacentral:misc_RNA from 1 species
UAUCCCAGUUUCUUCUCGUAGUUCCCUUAUGGCUGCAGAUCUAGGCUCCUCAUUGUCUUCAAUACCCCCCUGAGGCAUCUGCCAUGCUCCUGGAACAUUUAAUCUAGAAGCCACAAAAAUCUGUCUGAGUUGAUAAGACAAACGCCAACGUUGGGGCGAUAGCCGGCUGGCAGGCCAUCCAUUUGAGGCCUUAUUGAAACCCAACACCCAGAGAAAAAGAGAGAAGCGC